rnacentral:pre_miRNA from 1 species
UGAAUUUGGAGACUUCAGCUUGCAUACUCGGAGUAUCUGAAGACUUCAGCUUGCAUACUUGGAGGAUUUGAAGGAACU